UCCGGUUUGUCACCGGCAGUCUCCCUAGAGUGCCCUUGCGUAGCAACUAGGGACAAGGGUUGCGCUCGUUGCGGGACUUAACCCAACAUCUCACGACACGAGCUGACGACAGCCAUGCAGCACCUGUGUUUCCGUUCCCUUUCGGGCACACCCACCUCUCAGCGGGCUCCAGAACAUGUCAAGGGUAGGUAAGGUUGUUCGCGUUGCAUCGAAUUAAUCCACAUCAUCCACCGCUUGUGCGGGUCCCCGUCAAUUCCUUUGAGUUUUAACCUUGCGGCCGUACUCCCCAGGCGGGCAACUUCACGCGUGAGCUGCGGUACCAAGGAAUCGCUUCCCCAACACCCAGUUGCCAUCGUUUAGGGCGUGGACUAC
rnacentral:misc_RNA from 1 species